CAAGCGGUGGAGCAUGUGGUUUAAUUCGAUGCAACGCGAAGAACCUUACCUACUCUUGACAUCCAGCGAACUUAGCAGAGAUGCUUUGGUGCCUUCGGGAACGCUGAGACAGGUGCUGCAUGGCUGUCGUCAGCUCGUGUUGUGAAAUGUUGGGUUAAGUCCCGCAACGAGCGCAACCCUUAUCCUUUGUUGCCAGCGAUACGGUCGGGGACUCAAAGGAGACUGCCGGUGAUAAACCGGAGGAAGGUGGGGAUGACGUCAAGUCAUCAUGGCCCUUACGAGUAGGGCUACGCACGUGCUACAAUGGCGCAUACAAAGAGAAGCGACCUCGCGAGAGCAAGCGGACCUCAGAAAGUGCGUCGUAGUCCGGAUCGGAGUCUGCAACUCGACUCCGUGAAGUCGGAAUCGCUAGUAAUCGUGGAUCAGAAUGCCACGGUGAAUACGUUCCCGGGCCUUGUACACACC
rnacentral:rRNA from 1 species